GUGACCUCAAAUCAGGUAGGACUACCCGCUGAACUUAAGCAUAUCAAUAAGCGGAGAAAAAGAAACUAACAAGGAUUCCCCUAGUAACUGCGAGUGAAGCGGGAAAAGCUCAAAUUUAAAAUCUGGCGGCCUUUUUGCUGUCCGAGUUGUGAUCUAGAGAAGUGUUAUCCGCGCUGGACCGUGUACAAGUCUCCUGGAAUGGAGCAUCAUAGAGGGUGAGAAUCCCGUCUUUGACAUGGACUACCAGGGCUUUGUGAUGCGCUCUCA
rnacentral:rRNA from 1 species